GGGGGGGGGUUAAGGAUUGUGGUCUUGUUUCUUAGCAAAGGGGAUGAAUUUUUUUUACUGAUAAAAGAGAAAAUAAUUUAUUUCGAGCUUUAAUUUCACCCUAUCCGCCCAUUACUCGCCCAAGUUCAUUUGAGUUUGAGGGCACUCAUGAAGGAGUUAUAGUGGAAUAGAUAGUUUCAGUUUGUUUGUCCCAAUCGCUGCUCUCGAAAAGGUCGAAAACAGCAAAAUACAUUGCAGAAAAUUUGACAGCAGGUCUAGAAACACGCUGUUAUACUCGUCUUAUACACCGAUAUACAGGUCAAAACAUGCGUAGGGGGGCAAAUUCGAAAUGCAGGUUGAGAGCACUGAAGGUAUGAUGCUGGAAAAUAUUUUUCAACCCCCGAAAUUCGAUAUACAGGUUGAUACACCAGCUGUAUACAUCGAUAUACUCGCUUUAUACAGCGAUAUAUAGUAGUAAAUACAGUAUACAGGUACAAAUAUUUGGAAGCACAGAUAGGGAAAUACAGCACAUAAAAUUAGAUACGGUACAAAACAUGCUGGAUACGCUUCUUGUGCAGCAGUAUACAUUAAGUGUAUACCAAAUUGUAAAGAGAAAUGGGGCCAAAGCCCAUCUGGGUCCCUUGCAGAAUUUUGUGGAAAAAGGGUCAGGGCCAAAAAGUGAAAAAAAAAGAGGGAAAAUUAUAUUGAAUGGGAAACAUUUCUAAGUAAUUAUAUAAUAGGGGUAUAGUUUAAUUUAUUUACUUUCUAUAAUUAUAGUUUAUUUUUUUUGCUAUAAUUAAUGGGGUCCACCACCUAUUAUAUAACCAAUAGUAUAAAAACCUUUUUUUUUAAUUGAUAUAUAAUUUUACACAAAACAAUAUUAUCUCUCUUAUUCAUAUUCCACCUUUUUUUCCUACAAUUAAUACUUCUAUCCAAUUUGAAUUUCAAAUUGUCCAAAAUUCAAUUACUCCCUCCCGAAGAUGAAUUCAAUUUUCGUAGGUACUCCUAAAUUUUAGUCGUUUUCCUUUUUUUCUUUUCUUAUUCAACAAUUGUAUAUGUUUGUGUUUCUUAUGUUUUUUCAUAUUCUUUUUAUGAAAUAAUCGAUUGUUUGUUGUUAUUAGAUCUCAAAUUAGUCACAGAAUGAAUGAAUCAUCUUCAUCUAUGAGGAUUACCAUGGGUAUUCCAUUGAAGGUCAAUUUUGUUGACAAUUUACCAUCGUUUUCAAUGGGUUUAACUCAAGAUUUUGGGGUUGAUGUAGGGUCUAUGGUAAAAUCAAAGCAAGUUCAACAUGAACAAACAAUGGAAGAUUGAGAUCAAAGAAAAAAUAUGACCCUACGGCAGUUCAAGAAGUUAUUAACAAUGCUAAAGCUAGAGGUAUUAAAAUUGUACAAGGAGGAAGAAAGAAGAAAGCAGUAAACAUUGAUUCAGAGGAAAAUGCAUGUGAAGUUGACGGAUCUGAAGAACAUCAUAAUCAUGAGGUAGUGGCUUAAAACACAAAUUUAGAUACAAUGUCAAUAUACAAAAAAUUAUUGUUCAAGUAAAUUUUGUAUUCACAUAAUUGUAUAUAGUAUAUUGCAUGUUUAGUACACACAUGUUUUAGUUAUAUACUUGUAUAUGUGUCUGUAGAUUUGAUUACUUUAUACAUACUUUAAGUUAUGUAUAAUGAAUAUAUACUAAGUCUUAAUAGUGGUAGUAGCAGAUUGUAUAUUAAA